rnacentral:tRNA from 1 species
ACCAAGAGCCUUCAAAGCCCUAAGCAAGUACAAUUUACUUAAUUCCUG